GGCGAAGCCGCGAGGCAGAGCGAACCCCAAAAAGCCGUCCCAGUUCGGAUCGCAGGCUGCAACCCGCCUGCGUGAAGUCGGAAUCGCUAGUAAUCGCGGAUCAGCAUGCCGCGGUGAAUACGUUCCCGGGCCUUGUACACACCGCCCGUCACACCAUGAGAGUCGGGAACACCCGAAGCCCGUAGCCUAACAGCAAUGAGGGCGCGGUCGAAGGUGGGUUCGAUAAUUGGGGUGAAGUCGUAACAAGGUAUC
rnacentral:rRNA from 1 species